CUUAGCUCAGCUGGAUAGAGCACCGGACUUCUAAUCCGACGGUCGAGGGUUCGAAUCCCCCAG
rnacentral:tRNA from 1 species